AGGCAGCAGUGGGGAAUAUUGCACAAUGGGGGAAACCCUGAUGCAGCAACGCCGCGUGAGUGACGAAGGCCUUCGGGUCGUAAAACUCUGUCUUAGCUGACGAUAAUGACGGUAGGCUAGGAGGAAGCCACGGCUAACUACGUGCCAGCAGCCGCGGUAAUACGUAGGUGGCGAGCGUUGUCCGGAUUUACUGGGCGUAAAGGGAGCGUAGGUGGUUUUUUAAGUGGGGUGUGAAAUCCCUGGGCUUAACCCAGGAAUUGCAUUCCAUACUGGAAGACUAGAGUGCAGGAGAGGAAAGUGGAAUUCCAAGUGUAGCGGUGAAAUGCGUAGAGAUUUGGAGGAACACCAGUGGCGAAGGCGACUUUCUGGACUGUAACUGACACUGAGGCUCGAGAGCGUAGGGAGCAAACAGGAUUAGAUACCCUGGUAGUCCACGCUGUAAACGAUGAAUACUAGGUGUUGGGGGCGAAGCCCUCAGUGCCGCAGUUAACACAUUAAGUAUUCCGCCUGGGGAGUACGAUCGCAAGAUUAAAACUCAAAGGAAUUGACGGGGGCCCGCACAAGCAGCGGAGCAUGUGGUUUAAUUCGAAGCAACGCGAAGAACCUUACCAAGGCUUGACAUCUACAGAAUCCUAAAGAGAUUUGGGAGUGCCUUUCGGGGAACUGUAAGACAGGUGGUGCAUGGUUGUCGUCAGCUCGUGUCGUGAGAUGUUGGGUUAAGUCCCGCAACGAGCGCAA
rnacentral:rRNA from 1 species